AGAGUUUGAUCCUGGCUCAGAACGAACGCUGGCGGCAGGCUUAACACAUGCAAGUCGAACGAGAAGCCGGACUUCGGUCUGGUGGAGAGUGGCGCACGGGUGAGUAACGCGUGGGGAUUUACCCAGCAGUACGGGAUAACAUCGGGAAACCGGUGCUAAUACCGCAUACGCCCUUCGGGGGAAAGAUUUAUCGCUGUUGGAUGAACCCGCGUAAGAUUAGAUAGUUGGUGGGGUAAUGGCCUACCAAGUCGACGAUCUUUAGCUGGUCUGAGAGGAUGAUCAGCCACACUGGAACUGAGACACGGUCCAGACUCCUACGGGAGGCAGCAGUGGGGAAUAUUGGACAAUGGGCGCAAGCCUGAUCCAGCCAUGCCGCGUGAGUGAUGAAGGCCUUAGGGUUGUAAAGCUCUUUCAUCGGUGAAGAUAAUGACGGUAACCGAAGAAGAAGCCCCGGCUAACUCCCUGCCAGCAGCCCCCGUAAUUCGGAGGGGGCUAG
rnacentral:rRNA from 1 species